rnacentral:rRNA from 1 species
AGCGAACGCUGGCGGCAGGCCUAACACAUGCAAGUCGAACGAACUCUUCGGAGUUAGUGGCGGACGGGUGAGUAACACGUGGGAACGUGCCUUUUGGUUCGGAAUAACUCAGGGAAACUUGUGCUAAUACCGAGUGUGCCCUUCUGGGGAAAGAUUUAUCGCCAUUAGAGCGGCCCGCGUCUGAUUAGCUAGUUGGUGAGGUAACGGCUCACCAAGGCGACGAUCAGUAGCUGGUCUGAGAGGAUGACCAGCCACACUGGGACUGAGACACGGCCCAGACUCCUACGGGAGGCAGCAGUGGGGAAUCUUGCGCAAUGGGCGAAAGCCUGACGCAGCCAUGCCGCGUGAAUGAUGAAGGUCUUAGGAUUGUAAAAUUCUUUCACCGGGGACGAUAAUGACGGUACCCGGAGAAGAAGCCCCGGCUAACUUCGUG